ensembl:lncRNA
GCUGUAUUUCCUUCUCUGAGACACUCUACUGAGGCCUCCACUGCAGCCACCUUUAGCUAGUAAUGUAUCUUCAUACAUUCAGUUUUAUCUUCAUUAAUUAAAAAGCUUACUUUAUUGGGUUGCGAUCAAGUCACUGACUUCGGAAUUGAAGAAUGCCAUUUCUUUGCCUUAAGAAACUCCUGGGUUGCGUUUGCAGUAUGCUUUGAGAAAUUAUCCAUUUGCACUGUGAAGCGCUGUCCAAUCAGUUUUGCAGUAAUUUGCUGAGCAGAGUAUAGCUUUUUAGAGUGUGUAAUUCAUCAUGUUAUGUCUGUCAGCACUCACAUCUUCAGUAAACACUAGUGGCCCAGUUUCACUGGCAGCCAUACGUUCCCAUGCCACAACAUUGACUCCACCACAUCUUUGGAUCAUGAGCUGUUUCUCUAUUCUGCCAUACAUCUUUUUGAUACAAGUUAAUCUUAUUUUUAUCUUUCCCAAGAAUUUUUCCAGAACAGUUCAGGCUCUUUUAGAUGUUUUCUGACAAGGUUUAAUCUAGUCUUAUCUUUCUUGAGUGUACCCAGUGGUUUGUACCUUGUUGUAGAAACUGUAUUUCAGAGGGCAUCUCUUUAUUCUAGACCUUGAUAAUGAUAAGGCUUGGCAGUAAAAUAUCCAAUUCAUUAAAAUGAAAUGAAAAUGGGGGAAAUGGAUAUAAAUGGCUGCAACUCUUAAGCCACUGAUGUUUCAUUUUCGUGAAACCCCUUGAAUUUAAAGUUUUAGUGGUGUAGAGAAAACUACAAAAAACUAUAUAUAUAUAUGUAUAUAUAUAUAUAUACAUAUAUAUAUAUUUCAACCAUCAGGACUUAAUCAAAAAAUGCUGAGUUUAAGGAAAAAAUUCAACCUACAAACUUUUAAUUUUAUUAUAAAUUUUAUUAUAGUAACUGAUUUUGGAUAUUGUUUUCAAAUGUGUUUAUUUAGAAAGGUUUCCUUUAGGCAGGCAUUUACAUUGACAUGUACAUGUUUCUAUAAAAAAAUACAAGCCAGUAAAGACAGGGAUUUAAAAAACAGAGGGGUACAUACAUGCAUAACUCAGACUACCUUCCCCUUAGCCCUCAGAUGCAGACCCCGAAUACUGAUUUUGGAUAAUAAAUGUAAUGAAAACAACUUCAGACAAUCAGUACGAUUAUUUUAUAUGUAUCACUGUGUAAAUUACUGUACAUUAAAACUCAUCAGACUCAACUGAUUCAUGACUCAACUCUGACUCAACUCAGUAUCGAUAUUCUUGGCAGUACUCUUCUCUUUGAGUGUAUAGUACAGAUCUAUUCUAUACAAACUUCCCUUAUAUCUUUGCAAACAUAUUUUAAAGAACUUGAAAAAAAUUAUAGCUUAGAAGGCAAACAUGGGAACCAGAGCUUCAAGUUCUUCUUUUUUAUGUAUAGGUCUUGUAUCUUUGGUUACUUUGUGGUUAGUUGCGAUAUUAUACAGAAUUUCUUUUUUCAGUUUACCCAUCUGCUAACCUAAUGUUGCAUAGUUCUGCCACUAAGUUGCGAAAUGCAAAUUUUUGAAACCCAGUGGGUCAUUGAGUACUCUGUUCAUGUAAAACUUUUACUGUGAUCUUUCUGACAGUAUUAAUAUCAACGUAAUACAAAUUCCCUAAUGUGACACUGGAUAGUAAAUACUUGUGGAUUUACAUAUUCUGUCAAAGAAAUUGUUUUACAAAUCUGAAGUGAUACUGGAGAUUAGAUGGCUAACAUUUGCUCAAUGAAAUGCAUUCUUUAAGCUAUAAAUUUUGUCAUUGAAUUAUAUUGCAGCUCAUUUAAAAAUUAACUUGUCAAGUGAAAUUAUGCCUGUUUUUUAUUCUGUAAAUCUGUUAUUACUAUAUCAGAUAUAUACAAUGCAGGUUACAAUACAAUACAGGUCCCAAAGUUAAGAUCAUUUGUGGAGCUAUGAUAGUCUUUUUGCCACAAGAUGGCAUCAGAGUGGCUCCUUCAUCACUUAGGUCAGUGAGGAAAUGUCAUUCCAAGCACUUAUUGUACCUCUCAAGGAAGGUAAUAGGCUGUAUAGUUAUCACCUGAAUAGGAUUGAGUCCAUCCCACAAACUAUACAACCUACUACCUCACCUUGCUAGGCUCAACUUCAAACCCAAAUGAAAAGCCUUAAUAACAAGGCUUUGGUCAGUAUACACCAAUUAGAAAGGGUAGACAGGUUCUACUGUUCGAUUACAUAAUUAAGUGACAGUCUUUCUUUUGACUGCAGUUGUCUUUAAACAGGUGUGGGUAGAUUAUUUGUAUUUUCAUUAGUGAUGCGUUCCUUUAUCCAGGGAGCUUCUCGUGCAUAUAAGAUUUGGCAUCUCCGCAGAUUAACCUGUUUCCUUAGGAAAGACAGUAGAUUGUAUAGUUAUCUCAAAAGGAGGACGUAAACCCCACAACUAUUCAAUCUACUACCUCAACCUUAAGGACAGAUAGUUUUUCACGUAGCAGUAGAAAAUGUGUCAGUCAGA